ACUGAUGAGGUUACUAAAGAAAUAAAAGAUGUGUCUGGACAGAUCAACACUGUGUCCUGCUUAAAGUAUACCCCCCAGCUGGAGAGAGAUCCACUAACAGUACAGAAAAGCAGAGCAAGGGAGCUGUGGAAGCCAUGGAAAAGCAAAACUGGAACUGAGUGUAAUUAUUAUCUGGUGCCUCCGGGAAGUUACCUGUACUUUCCAGUCUCAGAGAUUCUUUGCUCUCUUCCUCUGGGUGAUGUGGCUCCCUAUAAGAAAAUUUCCUGAGAGGCUUCUAAACUUCCCUGUAGGGUAUCAGUCACCACCUGGGUGAAAAACACAAGCUGUCAGCUGGUUUGUGUGGC
rnacentral:lncRNA from 1 species